rnacentral:rRNA from 1 species
CCCUUAGAUGUUCUGGGCCGCACGCGCGCUACACUGAAUGGAUCAACGUGUUUUCCCUUCCCGAGAGGGACGGGUAACCCGCUGAACCCCAUUCGUGGUAGGGAUCGGAGCUUGCAAUUGUUCUCCGUGAACCAGGAAUUCCCAGUAAGCGCAAGUCAUAAGCUUGCGUUGAUUACGUCCCUGCCCUUUGUACACACCGCCCGUCGCUACUACCGAUUGAAUGGUCCGGUGAAAUCUCCGGACUGGCGUGAGUCGGAGCAAUCUGACAAACGCCGGAAAGUUGAUUAAACCUUACCAUUUAGAGGAAGGUGAAGUCGUAACA